AAUCGAACUCCCAACCCUGGGCUCCUAACUCAUUGAGCUACACAGCCAGCUAUGUCUACAUUAUUACAUUAUUCUUUGUCCUCUUUUUCUUCCUCCCUGCUUGGAAGGAUGGGCCAAAGCAAGAUGGGAUUUACAAGCUGGUAUACAUUCCCAGGGCCCACUUAUGGCUGUCAGCGUUAGCAUGUCUUCAGGUCUUCAGAGAUGAGGUCAUGAACAGGCAGAGACAAGCAAAUUAAGCUACAAUCCAAUAUUUAAAAAGAUUAAAAGGGGAGGCUGCUUUGCUUCAGCUGUUUUAGUGUCUUGGAUGCUUUUCUUCCUCUUUCCCCACACAGAGCAGCUUUUGCCUAAUGUGGUUUGACAGUGAACUUCGAAGGCUGUCAGGUGGUGACAUCUUUCAGGGUAUCAAGCAUCACAUGGGCUUAUUGUAACUGGUGGGCUCACUCUCCAUUCCAGUCAAGUUAGGGGCAAGACGCAAAAUUUGAUCAUCUUCAGAAGAUGUGUGCCUGUGUGCGCACAUGCGCAAGCAAGCAAGCAUAGACCUACAUGUGUGUUUCCUUACUGCUAUGAUGAGGAGAUUUCAAAAAGGAUUAUGGUUUCAUAAAAUCACAAAUCAUUUAGCUGUGCUAUGGGAUGUCUUCCACACACACCUGCUGGUUAUCUCUGGUGGCUGCCUGGCUAUCUAGAAAUCUGACUGUCACACAGCAAACUCUGAACUAUUUAUGACUGCAGCAGCUUCCAAAAUCUAUAAAUAGAUGGCAUUGGAGCCUUGUUUUUCUCUCUACUUCUGCACAUCUCCCUCUGUUUACUUCUGCCUGUCUGUUUUUCUGUCAUCAAGUGCUUGGAUAGAAGCUGUUUAUUUCUGCGUACUACAUCAAAAGCAGAGUUCAAAAGUAACCAGUAAUUCGUCCUUGGCUGCAUUCAUGGCAGAGGCGAGGGGACGGGGCUAUGCCUGCAGAGGAUUCAGACCAGGGCCAAUGAUCAGCAGAACCAGAGGGAUUUCUUCAUAAAGACUGGGUCUUUAUAUUUUUGUGAAUACGAAAUGAAGGAGGGCAUACUUUGAAACAGCAAAUAGGAGUGAAACACGAAAUAAAAGCCCUUGUUCAUGUAACA
rnacentral:lncRNA from 1 species